rnacentral:lncRNA from 1 species
CGCCCAUCUUUGCUCCAGCGCUGUGAGUACAAACUCUCCGGCCUGGGCAACCCGCGGUCAGUAAACCACUAGGAGUCUGACCUCAUGGAGGCAGGACGCCCUCUCUCGAGGCGGGGAAAUUUGUGGUGGUUGGAGGUGGCAUCGCGGGUGUCACCGGUACUAAGCAGGUAGGCUGACCCGCAAACAGUUCCGCCUCUUCCCCGGCUCAGGUGGUGGCACUCAAGGCAUCCUCCCGCCUCUACCCAAGUCCUCGUUCCAGAUCCCUCUAUAGCCGCUGCCUUUUCUCCCGCCCCCCGCACUCCUUCUUCGUCUCAGUUAUUAGAGACUGCGUAGUGGCCCUUGGGCGAAAUUCUUAGUACCUCGCAAGGUUCGCCUUAGGCUCAGGGAGAAGUGGGGACAAGUUGUUGGGGGGACCCCAAAGCUGAGUGAACCAGACUGUGGUGAUAGUUAACCUGAGCAGACAAGAGGGUUUAAAACUGAUUAAGUACUUGGUCAGAACAUUCACCCUUCUUUCUUAAUUAGCUGAUUGAGUUCAGCUUCCACGUAGAUGCCAGAGCCUUAGUUUAUCGUAAAUAAUUGAUGAACUCAUGUUGUUUCCUACACUUUGAAUUUCCAAGAUAGAAGAGAUUUCAUCUCCAGUAAUGUUUUAUAAAACAACCAACAAGGGAAUAGAUGCAGCUGGGGAAUAGUUUUCUGAUUAUAGUGAAUAAUCAGACCAAAUAUAUACAUUCCAAAAAGGACUAUUUUGUGGAUAUAAAGUAAACAUAAGCAAUCAUUGAAGUCACAGAAGUAGUGCAGGAAAUUCGAGAGUUGUUUUCACACUUUCAAUCCUAGGUGUCUAUUUUCCGUUUUUUCACAAAGUAAACACCUGUUAUCCAGGUACUGUACUAAGGGCUGGUUAGUCAAUUAUAAACAGAGCCUUGUAUUUCCUUUUUAGGGAUUCACAGGCUAGUGGAAGAGACAUGUAAAUAAAUCAUUUCAUCAAUGUGUUUGCCAGCUUAAGGAUAUCAGUGGAGUUGGUAGGGCAUGAAUUAGGGGGGAGGUAUCCUUUUGUCUCAAUGUAGAAAAUGAGUAAAAGUUCACCAGGUGGACAAGAAGAACUAGAUGGUUCAAAGGGAGGCGAGGAUAUAAUCUUAGGUGGAAAGCAUGGCAGUACUGAGAGCAGCAAAGCUUAAAGAACAUGGUGCUUGGGGAGGUGAUCAGACAUGAAGCUGGGAAGGUUGGCAGAGACCAGAACAUGAAGGGUCUUAUAAGCCUUGAUGAAAAUGUAACAAGAACUUACGAGUAAUGAGAUGAUUUUGAGCAGUGGCCUAAUGUGAUCAAAUACAUUUUGAAAGAUCAUUAGUUACAAUGCACUUGGGGGAGGGGUUAAAAUGAGACUGCAAGGCCAGUUGAAAGGUGAUUGUAGUAGUACAAAGAAGUUUCAGGGGUGUCUGGCUGGCUCAUUCUGUAGAGUAUGCUACUCUUGAUCAAGGUCCUGAGGUUGAGCACCAUGUUGAGUGGCAGGAUUACUUUUUAAAAAAAGGUUUGAGAGCUAGAUGUAGCAAUGAAAAGAGAAAGUAGGUAAAUAAAUUGCAGAGUAUAUACAGAAAAGAAAGAUGGAGAGAGUGGUAAUAUUAUCAAGUAUUAUAGAAAGUUCAAAUAAGAUGAUAUUAAAAAGAAUCUGGUGGGUUUUAAGGAUGUAUAGGUGAAUGGAAGAUGCUCAGGGUUUUUUUUUUUUUUAAUAUUUAUUUUUGAGAGAGAGAGAGAGACAGAGUACAAACAGAGGAGGAGCAGAGAGAGGGGGACACACAGAAUCUGAAGCAGGCUCCAAGCUCUGAGCUGUCAGCACAGAGCCUGACACGGGGCUUUGACUCACAAACCAUGAGAUCAUAACCUGCGCUGAAGUCAGAUGCUUAACCAGCUGAGCCACCCAGGCACCCCCUCAGGGUUUUUUUCUUUAUUGAAUAUUGACAUGCAAUAUUCUCUUACUGAGGUGUACAUUGUAGUGAUUGGAUAUUUAUAUGCAUUAUGAAGUGAUCACCUCAAUAGGCAUAGUUACCCUCUGUCACUAUACAAAGUUAUUAUACUAUUAUUGACUAUAUUCCCUGUGCUGUGUAUUGCAUCCUUCUGACUUAUUUAUUUUAUAACUGGAAGUUAGUUCUUCUUAAUUUUUGUUUUGGCCACUCCCACCCCCUAACCCCCAACCCCUUCCCACUCUGGUAACCUGAGUUUGUUUGUUUCCUGUAUCUUUGAGUCUGUUGUUUGUUUUUAGAUUCCACAGAUAUUGAAAUCAUAUGGUACUUGUCUUUCUCUGACUUAUUUCUCUUGACAUAAUACCCUCUGGGUCCAUUCAUGUUGUCACAAAUGUCAAGAUUUCCUUUAUCUUAUGACUGAAUAGUAUUUCAUUGAAUAUUUAUAUACAUAUGCCACAUCUUCUUUAUCCAUUCGUCUAUCAGUGAACACUUAGGUUUCUCACCUACCUUGGCUAUUGUAAAUACUGCUGCAGUGAACAUAGCAGUGCGUAUAUCUCUUUGAAUUGGUGUUUUGUUCUCUUUGGAUAAAUACCCAGAAGUGGAAUUCCUGGAUCAUAUGGUAGUUCUAUUUUUAAUUUUUUGAGGAAACUCCAUAGUGUUUUCCAUAGUGGCUACACCAGUUUAUAUUCCCACCAUGACUGUACAGUGGUUCCCUUUUCUCCGCAUCCUCACCAACACUUGUGACUUCUUAUCUUUCUAAUUACAGCCAAUCUGACAGGUGUGAGGUGGUAUCUCAUUGUGGUUUUGAUUUGCAUUUCCCUGAUGAUUAGUGAUGUUGAGCAUGUUUUCAUGUGUCGACGUGUGUUGGCCAUGUGUAUGUUUUUGGAAAAAAUGUUCAAUCUACCCAUUUUUUUAAUUGAGUUUUUUUUUUUAUUCAGUUGUAUAAGUUUUUUAAAUAUAUUUUGGAUAUUAACCCAUUAUUGCAUGUGUGAUUUGCAAAUAUUCUCUCCCAUUCAGGUUACCUUUUCGUUUUGUUGAUGGUUUCCUUCUCUCCGCAAAAGCCUUUUAGUUUUAUGUCAUUUCAUUUUACUUUGCCUGAGGAAAAUGGUUCAAAAAAUAUUGCUAAGACUGGUGUCAGAGAGCUUACUGCCUAUAUUUUCUUCUAGGAAUGUUAUGGUUUCACAUCUUAUAUUCAAGUCUUUAAUCCAUUUUGAAUUUAUUUUUGUAUAUGGUGUAAGAUAGUGGUCUAGUUUCAUUCUUCAGCAUGUAAGCUGUCCAGUUUUCCCAAGACAAUUUUCCAUUGUAUAUUCUUACCUCCUUUGUCAUAGACUAGUUGGCCAUCUAUGUGUGGGCUUAUAUGUGGGCUCUCUGUUUCAUUCCAUUAAUCUGUGUGUCCCAUUUUUUUAUGCCAGGACCAUACCGUUUUGAUUACUACAGCUUGGUAGUAUGGUUUGAAAUCGGGGAGCAUAAUACCUCCCACUCUGUUCUUUCUCAAGAUUGCUUUGACUAUUCAGGGUCUUUUUGUGGCUUCAUACAAAUUUUAGGAUUCUUUGUUCCAGUUCUUUGAAAAAUGCUGUUGGUAUUUUGGUGGGGAUUGUAUUGAACCUGUAGAUAGCUUUGGGAACUAUGGACAUGUUAACAUAUCAAUUUUUCCAAACCAUGAGCAUGAUAGAUCUUUCCAUUUAUGUAUAUCUUCUUAAGUUUUUUCAUCAGUGGCUUAUAGUUUUCAGUGUACAGGUCUCUUUGUGUCUUUGGUUAAAUUUAUUCCUAGGUAUUUUAUUCUGUAUGAUGCAGUUGUAAAUGGGAUUGUUUUCUUAAUUUCUCUUUCUGAUAGCUUGUUAUUAACGUAUAGAAACUAGACCAAUUUCUGUAUGUCAUUUUGUUCUCUGGAACUUACUGAAUUAAUUUAUUCAUUCUAAUAGUUUUUUGGUUGAACAUGCUCAGUUUUAACGGUAUAGUAGUGAGAGAAAUAGAAAAUGGUGGAGUUGAAGUGGAGGAUGAUUUAAGAAAAUUCUUUCAAGAAGUUUAAAGUGAAAAAGAAAAAGGUUAUAGCUGAAGGAAAAUGAUGGAAAAAAAUGGUAAGUUAAGCCUCUAAAUUCUUUCGAAGCUAAUACUAAAAUGGUUUUGUUUUCCCAGAGUAUAUACUGGCAUAUAAGAUAGUUUAAGUAAAUAAGGAAUACAAUUGAUGGUAUUUGAGCCAAUAUGACAAAAUCAGAGUUUUCAAGCCAAAAUCAGAAUUUUGGAAACCUCAUAUUCUUCACUGUGAGCCUCAUGAAACUUGAAGAAUUUUCUGAUGAGAUUGUUGGUGAUAAUAAUGAAUGUGUUUUUUUGAUAAUGUAGUGAUUUGAAAUUUGUUAACAUUUGGAAGAUCUCUAUAAAACUUAGUGAACCAAUAUUGUCCAGAUGACAAAUGUGAUGUUACAAGAUCCAUUUAAAGUUCAGGAUAGACCAAUGGCUUUCACAAGAACAGAAUAUGAAAAAUUCUUUGAUAUGGUUUCAAAUUCUACAUUGCAACUAAUCUUUAGGAAACCACACGUGUUAGUGUAACAUCAAAGAAGAAUAUACAGUUCUCUGAAAAGGCUGCAUACCUGUGUGAGGGUGAACUGUCUUCAGAUACUUCAGCCAGAUUAACAUAUUGUAAUAGUUUGAAUGCAGAAGCAGUUCUAAGUGCAGACAUUAAAGAAAUUUUCAGAGGUGCCUGGGUGGCUCAGUCAGUUAAACGUCUGCAUGAUCUUCAGUUCUUGAGUUUGAACUCCAUGUCAGGCUCUGUGCUGACAGCUCAGAGCCUGGGGCCUGCUUCAGAUUCCGUGUCUCCCUCUCUCUCUGCCCCUCCCCUGUUCAUGCUCUGUCUCUCUCUUUCUCUCAAAAAUAAAUAAAAACAUUUUUAAAAAAUUAAAAAAAAAUAAACUUGCAAAAAUGUAAAAGUGCCAUUCUUCUCAAUUUGUUUUGGAAAAAAAGUAUUAUUUUUUAUUAAAAGGAUAUUAUAUCUGUUUAACAUGUAUUGGAUUUAUUAUUCUUUUAAGUGAAUUAAAUAUUUUAAUUUUUUCUUAGUUUUAAUUUUAAUGUGGCAAAUAUCACUGGGUUUAACUCACACAGACAAAAGUUCUUUGGAGUCCUCAGUCAUUUUAAGAGUGUAAAGGGGUCUUGAGACUGAAAGGUUGAGAACUGCUAGGGCCAUGGAGUAGGUAGGUCUUCCAAGUAGUAUUUAAUGGACAGCUGAAGUCAAAUGCCAGUCUGCAAGGUGUGGUCCUUCCACCACACACUGAAUAUAGGACUGGAGAAAGCAGGUAGUUCAAUCUGUGAUUAGGAGUUUUAGGGUAGUUAAUGGUUAAAGAUAAGAGAGCAAGGAAGUAAAAGUUUGGGCAAAACAUGAAAUGAUCUACAACGGAGUCUUGGCUGCAUAGGAAGAAAAGUGAACCCAAGAGGAUGCUAAUGGUUUUGGACAGCAGGAAAGAGUCCAAAGACUAGAUCACAAUAAAGUUAGCUAGUAAGUGGACAGAGAAAACUAUAAGGAUAUGGAAAUAGACAAGCUAUUCUUGUCUAUUCUAUGUGGUUCAAGUAUGCAGAAGUAAGUAGAGUUAGCCCUGAUUUUCCAGGCUAGGAAACUAACGUGCACUUGGCUGACUUGAAUUCAAGUCUUAAAAUGUGGACUUUGCCUACUUUUCACUGCAUAUAGUGCAAUUAGCUGGCCUUCUUGUUUUAUGAACAUGAAGUAAGUAGUGUAUAAAAACAAAAAUAUUUUUAUUAAAAUUCUUAAAAGGAAAUAUUUUUUAAAAACAUACAUUUUUUUUUACCUUUUUGAUCUAAUAGGGUUUCUGACGUAUUGGAGGAGUUUGAUGUUGAAGAGCCACAGAAAACCAUGUUAGAAAAUUGCUUUCCCAACAUUAAGGUUAUAGAAUCCAGAAUAAAGGAACUGAAGAGUAAGGAACAUGUAAGAGGAUUUUUUUCUUGGGAUGCCUGGGUGGCUCAGUUACACGUAGGACUCUUGAUUUUGUCUCAGGUCAUGAUCUUAUGGUUCGUGGGUUUGAGCCCUGCAUCUGGCUCUGUGUUGACACUAUGGAGCCUGCUUGGGAUUCUCUCUCCCUCUGUGCUUCUCCCACAUUUGUUCUGUCUCUCUCAAACAAACAUUUAAAAAAAAAAAAAAAAAAGGAUUUUUAAUGACAGUCCAUUGUUCGGUCUUUUUUUAAUAUAUUUUUUUAAUGUUUUAUUUAUUUUUGAGAGAGAGAGAGAGACAGAGUGUGAGCGGGGGAGGGGCAGAGAGAGAGGGAGAUACAGAACCCGAAGCAGGCUCCAGGCUCUACGCUGUCGGCACAGAGCCCGACACGGGUCUGGAACCCAUGAACUGGGAGAUCAUGACCUGAGUUGAAGUCGGCCGCUCAACCGACUGAACCACUUAGGCAUCCCCCCCACCAUUGUUCAGUCUUGAUGAGCUUUUGCCUGCUUUCUUUUGACCCCAUCUGUACUCCCACCAUUACUAAGGCCCCUAGUAUAUAAAGCUUAGUAACAUUGGUUUCAUUAUUAGAAAAACUUACACUUUUUGAGUUUAUUGGGAUUAUAUAAUUAGUUGGAUUUAGCAUUUUAGGUUUUACAUUUCAAAUUAGCAUUAACAUUUAUAUAGUGUCUACUAUGUUCUAGGCACUGCAGAAGUGCUGGGAUACAACAGGAACAUUACAGUGAACUUGGCCUGGGAGGUCUCAUUGUCAUAGGGAAUAUAGACAUGCACAUGUAUUAAUUAUAUGUACAUGUGAAAGCACAGUCACUGAAAUAUUAUCAAAGCUCUGAUACUAGGGAUUUUGGAGGACCUCACAGAAGGAGAAAAUAUUUGAACUGUGUUUAAAAGGUGGGUGAAUUAAGAGUUCUUAAUUAAGGACAUUGUAGGAAAAGGAGGUUGCUUGUUCAAAGACCCAAAGAAAAGCACGUGGAAGAGUAACAUUGUCAGAGGUACUGUCUGUGGUAGAGAUAAGGAGAGGAGAUUGGCAGACUAGAGCAAACAAAUAGGACUGUGAAGAGCUGUCUACAUCAUGCCAAGAAAUUUAUUUUACCGUCAGUGGAGAAAUAAAGAGAAUUUACGUGAAGGUAAGGAUGGUAAUACAUUUUUAGGAAGAUAGAUGGCAAUGUUGAGGAUGAAGUGGGGUGGAGUGAGUGAUAGUGGCCAGCAACCAAACCAGAAGGUGGUUGCAAUAGUCCAAAAUGAUAGAAGACCUGAAUGAAGACAAGGACAGUGUAGUUGGAAAGAAUGGCCCAGAUAUGAGUGAGAUUUUUACUAUAAACUCAGCAGGACUCAGUAACCUAUUGGAUGUGGGAAUGAAUAAGGCAGUCGGAAGAAAGGUGUUGUCAGAUGAGAAACAAUAUCCUCAGGUGAGCCUUAGGUUAAGAUGAGUAGUAGAGUUUGUAGUUGUUUCUCUACAGCAACUCUAAUGUGGGAGUUCUCCCGAGAAAACGGGUAGGUAACACAUUUGAAACACAAAUAACUUGAUAGGAAAAAAAUAAAAAGUACUAACUUUUCAGAGAAAAACAUUAAAACUCUGAAUCCCAAACCAGAAUAAAUUUCUAAUACUCAUAGUGGUACAUAUUGCCUAGGACAUCCAUGUCAUUUAAUUUGCACACUGAGGUGGGCACAAAUGUAUGCUGAUAAAUUGUGAGGCAGUUAUAUUAGCACCUUUGAAUAAAUCAGAGUGCCACCCAUUACCAUUUGAAGUGUCCUACAUGAGAUCAUGUCUGUAUUCUCUUAUUUAAAUGUCCUGAAUAUUCUUUAAUGAAUUAGAGAUUUUUUAUCUUCGUGUCUACUUGCAAAAAUUUAACGUUAGCCAAUGAAAAGAAUGUUUGUUUUUACAGUAGCCAAAUGUAAAUUAUUUUUUAAAUUUGGUCGGUGUCUGUAACUACUGUUGAUCAGAUAAAAUUCUAACCACAUUAUCUGCAGGAAGACAUAGAGAAUUUCUAUGUGCAGUAUACUGUAUUGAAUUAUUGGCCUUAUGUAUUUGCAAUGCAGCUAAAGAGUUAAAUGGAUAGUGAAUGGCUCAGUGGGUAUUAAGUGCUGUCUUAUGAUUUGCCAUAUUUUAUAACAUGGCACAAUGUUAACCUGUAAACCACUCCCACUCCACCAUCUCUCAUAGUUGUAUGUGGGUGUGUGUGUGUGUGUAUGCAUGUAUGCUUUUCUAAAGGCUACUACUUAUAUGUAGGUUUUCAUUUGAUAUUAAGGAACAAAAACAGUGGAUCUUGAAUGUGUAUUUUUAGCCUCAAUGAUAUUAAAAUUUAAUAUAAGGGUGCCUGUUAGUCAGUUAAGCAUCCGACUCUUGGUUUCAGCUCAGGUUAUGAUCUUACGGUUCGUGGGAUCGAGCCCUGCCUCGGACUCUGCACCGACAGUGUGAGCCUGUUUGGGAUUCUCUCUCUGCCCUUCCCCUGCUUGCCCUCUAUCCCUCUCUUUCUCAAAAUAAAUAAACAUAAAAAAUUAAUAUAAAUAACCCUAAAACAGUAUAUGCUAGGAUUUAAGGUUAACACACUUUUCACUUAUAUGAAAAUAUCAAGGAGCAUGUUUGCUGGUAAAGUGAUUGUUAUUUGUACUUAAGAAGAAUCUAAAUACUGUUUUAGUACUUCCAAUGUUUUUAUACUAAGACAUAUUGUAACCUUUUCUACCACACUUUACUCCCCUGUACCCAUGGCAGACAUUAAGGUAUGAUAUGAUUAGAAUUACUAGAUCUUAGUAACUCCCAUUGAGAUCAGAAAUUCUCAAUAAGGCCUGCCCCAGGUAUAAUAUCAGAAUGCUCAAAUUUUAUUUAUUUCUUUAUUUUAAUUUUAACAUUUAUUUAUUUUUGAGAGAGAGAGUGCAAGUUGGGGAUGGGGGGGCAGGCAGAGAGGAAGGGAGACACAGAAUCCUAAGCAGGCUCCAGGUGCUGAGCUGUCAGCACAGAGCCCGACACGGGGCAUGAACUCAAGAAUCGCAGAAAUCACGACCUAAGCCAAAGUCAGCGGCUUAAUCAACUGAGCCACCUGGGUGCCCCCAGAAUGCUCAAUUAAAAAAUUUUUUUAACCUGAGGUCAACAUGCCUUCCUGAAUAUCAUGAGAUUACCUAAAUUUUAUGCAAAAUCUGGUGUGAGUGUACCUUUUUUCUCCAAGAGAGAAAGAUUAGUUUUCACCAGAUUCCCAAAAUGGUUCACGGACCUAAAAUGAUGGUGACUCACUGGAUUGGAUAAUGGGUUCUCAGGUUUACUUUGAUUUUCAAUUGCUAUAACAAAGUAUUGAGUAUCACGAAAGGCAACCUUAAUGUAUUUUUUUUUUUGCUUUUGUCUUAAUGAAUUUUUUAUUUAAAAUGAAAUUCUACCCAUGUAUAAAUAUAUUUCUCCUCUCUCCUUCAUGGCUCUAUGUUUUUACAGUACAUUGUAACAGGAGAUGGCAGUCAGUAUGUGUAUAAGAACUUUUUGUGCUGGAGCUAAACCAAAAUUGAUACACGAAGGAAAUCCUUUUGUAUCAGGAACCCAGGAUACAGACAGUGCUCAGGUAACAUUCUGAGGUUGGGUCAUGGAAAAGGAACAUGAAUAUUUCUUAGAUUUUUCUAUAUUUGAAUCAAAGUAUUCCACUUAGAGUGUUAAGUUCUAAAUUAUAGAAGAGGUUUGUUUUAUGAUCCAUAAACCAGAAAAUAGUGUUUUAUUACUACCUAUUUCAGUUUUAGUUUUGGGUGAUAAUUUUUGUUUUUUAGUUCAUGCUCAUGUUCUGUGUUCUUUCCAUGGUGCACUAUCCCAGAUGUAAUGACUGAGCUGAAGGUUAUAACUUUCUUUAUACACAUAUUCAUUAUUGUACUUUGGGAAUAUGUGAUUUGCAACCUAAAUAAUGGAGUAUAAUAUAUUAAUAUUUUUAAAGAAUUUAUAAGGUAAUUAGCAAUUUAAAUUUACUUUGUUAGAAGUUCUACGCUUAAAUUUGAAGGAAAAAUGUUUAGAAUGCCCUAUUUUGUAAUUAUUCCCAAAACAAGGAGAUAAUAUUGAUUGCAUUACAAUUGUUUUAGCAAAUGUGCCUUAUAGACAUUAUUUAGGUCUUUUUUUUUUCUUAAUCAAACUACAGUGAACGUGGGGCUCGAACUCAUCUCCCCAAGAUCAAGAGCCGUAUGCUUUACUGACUGAGCCAGCCAGGUGCCCCCCUCAAGGGGUGUUGUUUUAAAGUCCUCUCUCGCCUUUUUCUUUCUUUCUUCUAUGCAUUAUCACGAAAUGCUAUAGAUAGCUGGUGGUGAUUACAUUUGAGAAUAAAGUUUGGUUUGUAUUUUUGUUUUUAGAGGUAUGGCCUACAUAAUUGACCAAUGAAAAGAUAUACAGCUGCAAUUUCAUGGUCGGUGCUACAGAAGUUACUCCAAAUAUAGAACCUUUUCUCUGUAGCAACAAUGUAAGGUGAAGUUUAUGUCCUGCUGUGAAUAUUUUUAAAAUACUGUAUAAGAUUUCUAACUCCCAAGCAUAAAUAACUGUGGAUUAAGCAUAAAUAACUGUGGACUGACACCUAUGGAUUCACAAGUGAUUUCUUUUAGAGAAACUAUCUUGUCUUUUUUGCCUUUUAGCAUUUGAAGCUCACAAAACAGGAAUAUUGUAAUUAUGAGUGGGGUACUCACAUGGUUACUAAGUGUUCUUGAUGUUGAAAGUCUAAGAAUUUUUUUGUUGGUCUGUCUUAGUAGCAUUUUGAUUCCCUGGAAAUUGAGCUGAGUUAUCUAAACUUGCAGCUAUUUUUUACUUUCUCAUUAAAGAUCAGCAUACUGGGGCGCCUGGGUGGCGCAGUCGGUUAAGCAUCCGACUUCAGCCAGGUCACGAUCUCACAGUCCGUGAGUUCGAGCCCCGCGUCAGGCUCUGGGCUGAUGGCUCAGAGCCUGGAGCCUGUUUCCGAUUCUGUGUCUCCCUCUCUCUGCCCCUCCCCCGUUCAUGCUCUGUCUCUCUCUGUCCCAAAAAUAAACGUUGAAAAAAAAAAAUUAAAAAUGACAAAGCCAUCUUUCACUUUUCUUCCCAGGUGUUCUCAUAAGGAACAUUGUUUAGUUUGAUCUAGACGAAGAUGGUGGCCUGAAAGUGGAUGAUCACA